ensembl:lncRNA
CCUGCCUCCCUCACUUAGCAGUGUGUCCACUUGGGCAUGGCUACCCACUGCAGUAUUCUUGGCUAGAGAAUUCCAUGGACAGAGGAGACUGGUGGGCUACAGUCCAUAGGGUCACAAAGAGUCGGACACGACUGAAGUGACCUAGCAGUCGUGAUGCAUAGCUUGGGCAGGUCAGUAAGUCUCUGCAGGCCUUAGUUUCCCCAUCUUUACAAUGGGCUAUUUGAUGAUGAAGUGGGUCAGUCCACACAAACACGGGAGAGCAAUGUCUGCCAGAUAGUAGGUGCUCAGAAAGGGGUGGUCAUCCUUGAUUUUUGCACAUGAUGGUCACAGCAGAGGGAGUGCUCCCCUGAAAAGACCUCUCUGGGACUUUAUCCAGGCUGGGGACACACUGCCUUCUGAGUCAGGCCGUUCCAUUUUUGGACAGCUCUGACUAAGAAAAUUCUUCCUUGCUUCCAGCCAAGUCCACCUCCCCAUAACUCCCACGCAUGGGCCUUAGCUCUGCCAGAAGGCAAAUGUCAGAAAAAUAUUCUUGAAAGAGAGGACAUAGAAUGUAAAUAAGAAUGAUAGAAUCGGGUUGAGGAAUUACAGUCUCCCUGGCUUCAGCCAUUCCCACUGCCCAGCCCAGAUGUGGUGGGGGUGGGGGUCAAAGACCCUUUGGUUCAGUGGGAAAACAAGCCAAGGCUCAGCACUCUCCUCUACUCCCUUUAGAAACACAUUAAUCAACUUUUCCCUUCAUUCUUUGCAGGCCACAGCACACUGCUAACUGCCGUGAAACCAAGCAACAAGUCACUCCCCAGGAACAAAGGUGACGGCCACCAGGCCGCAGAGCCUUGACCUCAUCUCUUUUCCUACGUGCGGUCCACCCCGUAAUCAUUGUGCCUCCAGGGAGCAUGCCCGCCAAGCAGCGCACGCUGUCAGCCUCCUGUUUACAGAGCCUUUCUGGCGUCAGGUCAGACUUUCAUCCCUUGACGUUGGAUGGGUAAACAAAACACCUGGAGUCCCCAGGCCCCGUCCUGACCUUCCCUCACCCCAUCUCUGGGACCAGCUUCUGGAGUUGACCCCUCCCCACAGGUAGCUCCAGCUCCUGUAAUCUCUCUGAGGAUAGUGAUAGGGGCCUCCUGCCUGGGCUCACUGCCCCCAGGGUAUGGGCCUUCCACUCACCAACAUUUGUGACUCAACUUUCCUGUAACUCAAGAAUGCUCUCUGGGCUUCCCUGGUGGUCCAGUGGUUAAGAAUUCACCUUGCAAUACCAGGGACACAGGUUUGAUCUCUGUUCUGGGAAGCUCUCAUGUACCAUGGGGCAACCGAUCCUGUGCCCCACAGCUAAUGAGCCUGUGCUCUGGAGGUCACAAGCUCCCAGUGCUGAGCCUACGUGCUGCAGCUACUGAAGCCCGAGAGCUCUAGAGCCUGCGUUCUGCAACAGGAGAAGACACCACAGUGAGAAGCCCUUGAGCCACAACUAGAGUAGCCCCCACUUGCUGCAACUGGAGAAAGCCCGCCUGCAGCAAAGAAGACCCAGCAUAGCCAAAGAUAAAUAAAUUGAAAAAAAAAAAAAAAAGCUCUCUUGGGUCUGAUGUUUUUCAUGGAUAUUUGUUUUAGCUUCCAGCUUCAUCAUGUUCCUUGGAAGCAGGAACUAACCCUGUUUUGAGGCUGGAUGCAGAGCAGCCUGAGAAUAAUAGCUACCUAGUCAAUUAAGCUAUUGUCUUUCUAGGUUGUUCAGUUAUACCCAGAGAAAUUCUCCUGCUCCCCUGCCAUGUUUGGAGUGACAAUAGGUGUGAUUAAAAGGAUAAGAUCAGGACACUAGGGCUGUUUGGGGACUAUUAGGUGCACCCCAAUAUCAGGCCUUAUGAUCACCCACGAGGCUCUGCAGGAAGGCCCGUUCUGGGUGGCUUUGUAUUUUCAUGCUUCUCAUAGAAAGGAUUUUUUUUUUUAAAGUAUAACAUUGUUUUUAGAAUAUACAGUAAUGUAAAUGUUCCAAAGCUCAACGCAGAUUAAAACAUACUCCCUAAUUGUUUGUUGCUUCCUCGUUCUCUCUUUUCCCAGCCCAAGACAUAUGUUUUUGAUAUCACAGCAAACAGCAAUUGAUUCUAUUUCUAGUUGCUUCAAAAACAAUUCUAAUGGCCUAGUCACUGUCCAAACAAGGCAAAGGCUGGGUGGAUCAGCCUCCUUAUGUCACAGUUAUAAGGAAGGUCCUUGUAGUUAAAUGUCUCCCAGCCCCCAGUUCCAUAUAUUUAAUUCCUUCUCUUGAUAUUUCAUCCUUUCAG